rnacentral:misc_RNA from 1 species
CCUUGUGGAGGAGGACGCCGAAGGUGGGGCUAAUGACUGGGGUGAAGUCGUAACAAGGUAGCCGUACCGGAAGGUGCGGCUGGAUCACCUCCUAACAGGGAGACAACAAAAUGUAAAUAUUAAUUUUGUCACCUUAGGUCGAUCGGUAUCUCAGAUUCUUAAUUUUUAAGAAUUUCAGUUUCUAAGUUUUUUCUAGGUCACACCCAUUACUUUUUCCUGGGCCAUUAGCUCAGGUGGUUAGAGCGCACCCCUGAUAAGGGUGAGGUCCCUGGUUCAAGUCCAGGAUGGCCCAUAUCUCUAUGUUGGGGGUAUAGCUCAGUUGGUAGAGCGCCUGCUUUGCAAGCAGGAUGUCAGCGGUUCGAGUCCGCUUACCUCCACUGAAUACCACCAUUUACAUAUUGUUAAAAAGGAAAUUGUUUUGAGUCGUACCCUAUUUGCUCUGAGUGAAUCUAGCUUCCUGUUUUUAUUUAAUAAAAUAAGAUGCUGGACUCAUUGAAUUAUUAUUAUUCAUUGUUUUCAGAGAACCUUGACAACUGCAUAGAUUAUUUUUAAAGACAAUAAGCAUCUUUAAUGAUGCAGAUUUAUUAUUUGUGCGAAUGCAUUAAAUAACAAUUCUAUUAAGCUGAUGCUUCAAUUUUUGAAGUUAUUGGUCAAGCUACAAAGGGCUCACGGAGGAUACCUAGGCACACAGAGGC